GUAGGAUUAACACUCGGGCAAAUGUGAGAUGGAUGUAACACUAAAAUGUUAGCUAGAAGUAGCUCUCAGGCUGAAGUGCCCAGGAGGCCCCAGAGGGGGUAACAGACACGAGGUCUGAGAGAGAUAACUGAACCAGUUGAAAAGUACUGAAGGAGCAGUAAAACUUGAGAAAACAGAACAAAGGGGGCCAUCUGGCACAUAACAAGUUGAGCUAGCUGAUAGCCAAAUACGGCAUGGUCAAACACUGAUAAGAGACUGGGGCCAAUGACAAACUGUAAAAACCGUUCAUUACCAAAUAAGGGAACGGUGCAGGGAUAAGGGGGGUAUAAGAAUAAACAACUUAGAACAAAGGGGCAGAACGCCUUCUCCAGCUGGACAAAUGUCUAGCUGUAACCGAUUCUCUCUCGAAUAAAGCAGUCUGUUUCUUAGAAUCUGACCCGGUGUCUCAUUCCUCCGAAAACGAACACGGGGACGGUAGAACCGUCUUAACAGAUGGUGACCCCUGACGUGCGGAGGGAACGGAGACACGUUUGUUGGCAGGGGUUGAGAGCCGCCGGGCGGCCGGCCAUUCUGAACUGGGUACGGGGACGCCUUUUGUACAAAGGUCUCCAGUAGGCAUUGACCACUCUAAAUUAGUAGUUGUUCCGACGUCUCGAAUACCUUUGCCAACCUAAAUUGCAGACGUGAGUAGACGACAGAGAAUCGCUUGUUCUAAGUGUGAGUUCUUUAGGUGUGUUGGUCAUCCCGGAUAAGCCGGAGGUAUUGGACAGUGAGUUAUUUAUUUUUGGUCUCUUAUGUUUAUAAAAGUGAAUCCUCUAGGUGUGCGUUAAAACAGCCUUGCAAUUUGAAAGUCCUGGAGACGGUGAGGCAUAUGUUUGUAGCCUCCUAUUGUUAGACAAGGGAACCGUCUAGGUGUGCUUUGGAACAUCACUGCAGAUUGAAAGUCCUAGAAUCGGACGCUUGUGACACAUACGAUCGACCAUGCCCUGACGGGAAAGGAUAACCCCCCACCCGCAUACCAGGCAGCGGUGCUAGAGGAGCCUGUGAUGGAGGCACCCGAUGGGAAGAUUACGGGAUCGGUAUCAGAGGGAAUGGAGGAGAUAUGCCUGCGAGGGAAGCACGGGACAACUUAUGAUUUUACUUUAUAACUGUAUCUCUCAUUUCUAAUCCUUCCCAUAUUAGGGCCUCAGAAUGUGAGGGCUGAGGUGCAGAGACCCCCUAGUUGUGUAUUUUUUCUCUCUCUUUCCCGUUCAAAUUGACAACAGGUAAAUUUGUGCUUUUAUGCUGCAGUUAGAGAUUGUGAAGUGCUAUAUGCCUCGAGACUCAAGAGACUAUUGUUCACUCAAGAGAUUUCCUAGCCAUCAUCUGGUAUUCCUAAAUGGCUUCGAUUGGUCUCGAUGGCCACUGUUCACAAUAAUAAGCCAGUUACCACUGCCCGUGUCCGUACUUGACAGCUGUAAAAUGGAUGUGGGUUUUUAUUGGUCAAGUGAAGGUGACUGGUUAGCCAAUGACGGGUAAGAUUCCUCGAGUGAGGGACAACCUAAGACAGGCACAGUCGUGCAUUGACCUUCAGAAUAAUGGCCUGUGGUCAUGUGGUUUUAGCAGAUGCCUGGCUUUUGUAUCUGUGUCGGGAAUCUGGUCAAGUUUCUGGCUUGCAAAGCAGCUUGAUAUAAGGAAAAUCGUGGACCCAGCAGUUUGACAUUGUAUUCACUGUAUUUUUGACGAAGGAAAAUGCCAGUUUUGUGUCAUUUUCCAGAACCGACUUAACAACAACCCUUGAGGAAGGAAGGAGAGCUCAUUGAAUCCUAUUGCAAAAAGAUUUGACACUAUGUCAGUAGUUUGAAAUUUUAUUUUAAGGUGUCAUGGUAUAAUACGACCGACUUUACUGGGAGGUUGUACAAUUGGGUGUUCGUUGGACAGCAGAGCUUCAUUCUGCAGGCGUCCUAACUCAUCCACUUUGUGUUUUCCUCUGGUUCUCUUCGCUUUUGUUAUCAUACUCAUUAAUCGUUUUGUUGGUUUUGAGGUGGCUUUUUGUAUAUGUUUACAACUUUUAAGUGCUUACAUCUGUUAUGUAUUAUUUCACUGCUUCUUGUGCCCUAACGGUUGUAUGCGAGCUGGAGAGGCGCAUAGAGUAGGGAUUUUGCGGCGUGGAAUGCUUUGUGUACUUGUAUGCUGCUUAGGGAUUCCUUUCCCUUAUAACUGUGUCUCCAUAGAGUCAGACAAGCCGGGUAACGCCAAGUGGUCGGUCUCGCAAAUGAGUGACGAAGGGGCACUCACCGACCCGCCAGGCCCUGACUGCUGCGCGCGUUUGCUGUAUUUGUGGCCUCUCUGAGGCCAAGAGGGGGAAUGUUAGGUAGGAUUAACACUCGGGCAAAUGUGAGAUGGAUGUAACACUAAAAUGUUAGCUAGAAGUAGCUCUCAGGCUGAAGUGCCCAGGAGGCCCCAGAGGGGGUAACAGACACGAGGUCUGAGGGAGAUAACUGAACCAGUUGAAAAGUACUGAAGGAGCAGUAAAACUUGAGAAAAAAGAACAAAGGGGGCCAUCUGGCAUAUAACAAGUUGAGCUAGCUGAUAGCCAAAUACGGCAUGGUCAAACACUGAUAAGAGACUGGGGCCAAUGACAAACUGUAAAAACCGUUCGUUACCAAAUAAGGGAACGGUGCAGGGAUAAGGGGGGUAUAAGAAUAAACAACUUAGAACAAAGGGGCAGAACGCCUUCUCCAGCUGGACAAAUGUCUAGCUGUAACCGAUUCUCUCUCGAAUAAAGCAGUCUGUUUCUUAGAA